GUCUACUCCGAACUCCUACUACGAGCGGUCUACUCUGAACUCCUACUAUGAGCGGUCUACUCUGAACUUCUACUACGAGCAGUCUACUCCAAACUUCUACUGUAAGCGAAUUCCAUCCGAGCUUCUAUUGUAAAUAAAUUUCUUUCGAACUUCUAUUACAGGCAGACUUCAGCCGAGCUCCUACAGUGGACGGAUCCCAUACAAGCUUCUACAAUGGGACAGGACCCACCGGCC
rnacentral:lncRNA from 1 species